GGUUUCUGGGUGUUACAAACAGCCACCAUUGAAGACUCUAUCUCCCGAAAUUUUUAAGGAUGAGUCAUUGACUAUUGGUGGUCAAGUUAAAGCAAGAGGUCAGGUAUUAAAGAGACGAGAUGAAGCUAGAUGUCGGGUAAGAUGUGAUGUGACAUAGGUUUUUGGAAAUAGUUGAUGGUUGUUUUUUAAUUAAAUUGGCUAUUUUUAAUAUGUUUGGUUGACUACCAUGUUGUGCAACCUCCAAAUACUACUUGUCGUGUCGAGACCUUUGGGAGAAUAUGUCAAACCUUUGAUGAUCGUAGGACUAGGUGGGUUGUGGAGAUGGGGUUUGGAGGGCUUUUACAUUUUGCCGGAGGCAUGCACCUCCCAAGGCAGUUAUCUUAUUGGCUAAUGACUUGUAUUGAUCCUUUGAACUACACAUUUAGAACUUUAGAUGGUAGGGUCAUUGGUCUUUCAAAAAAUCAAGUUCAUUGGGUUCUUGGUAUUCCCAAUAGAGGGAGGAGUGUACCAGGUUACAAAUCUAUAACGGAUGAUAAUAUGAUAAAGAUUCAUGAAAUAAUGGGCAGGUAUGGUAAAGCAUGGAUUAGUAAAUCAAACAAAACAGGUCGACAGUAUAAGUCUCAGGGUAUCCUAGUGGAUAGGAAAUUAAUGGAGAGGGUUGAGGGUUACUGGGGAGAAGAGGAGGGAGAUGAAUUUAAGAUGUUGUUCUUGCUACUUUCACAGGAGUUGUUGUGUCCUACUCAGUCCUCUAGACUGGCCUCAGAUUUAGUUCCGUCGUUAACGUGUGCCCCUCUAGCUUCAGAAUACGACUGGUGCAGUCUUGUCUUGAAGAAGCUUAUGGACAACGUAGCCACAUUUGCAAGGAGGUUUUAUGCUAGUGGUUACGCUAGUGGGUGCGGAGGAUGUUUAAUAUUUGCUGUGGUGUUUUAUCUUGAUCGGCUUGACAGGCAACCGGUGAGUUGGGGCGUGUUCUCGAGGAUUCAAGCUUGGACUAUGAAUGAGAUUCGUUUUGCUGUGAAGGAGGACCACAUGCCAGAUGGUGGUGACUUUGGGGUUCUUGGUAGUUUGGAUGUGGCUUAUGGUGAAUCGCAUCCACUAUUAGCAAGGGACACACAAGGGCCUGAGAUUGAGUUGCAGGUGAACUUGGUUGCAUUUGGUAGGACAUGGAAAAGGAAGAUGCCCACACCAAGGCGUGUGGCUAUGAGAAAGAACUUGCGACAAUAUUGAAUACUAGAUGAUGAAAUAGAAUGUGUAUUUUGCCAUUCUUUAUCGAGUUGCCGUACAUUGAAUGCUAGUGAACUGAACCGCUGCCAGGGUACACGAGUUUUGGAAAUAGUUGUAUUGAUUCAUGACCGUAUAAAGAGGUCUUUAUGUGACGAUGCUGUUAACGCUUGUGAAAUGGUUCAUUUGAUUGCUGGGAAUCAAUCCUUAUUUGACCGACAACAUGUAAACCAUGCAGUGCAAAGGAUGAAGCGAGGCAUUGUUAUCUUCUCUGGGGGUGUUGGAAUACAUUCACUUUGUACGGACACUAUGAGAAAGCUGAUAGAAAGCGGGUGUUGCGGAGCCAUGGCCCUUGUGUCUCAUGUUAUUGAAGCCGGAAUUGAUAGGAACGACACAAAGAUGGCCCGCUUAGCAGUGUUCUUGAAGCGGCGGUGUGUUCUUGAAUUGUACAGCACACAGUCACAGUCUUUAUUUGUAUUUGUUAAAAAAAGGAUUUUGAAUUUUGAUCAUCUGUGUGUAGAGCUUGGUCUUCGAUCACAUA